ensembl:lncRNA
GCAGAGAGCGCGGAGCGCGCGCCCCCUCGCGGGGCCGCCCCGGCACUGCCGGUGCCUCCCACCGGUGGGGGGACCUCGGGCGGCGCCGCUCGUCGGGAGAGAGACGGAGCGCACCGGGCACCGGGCACGGAACGCAGCCGGCUCGGAGCUCAUUGGGCACCAGGCACGCAUUUCACCGGGCACCGGGCGGCUCCGGCGCGAGAACUUGGACCAGAAGAUCUGAGGGAAGUACCAAUGUGCUAAUAUUUAUAGGAUGAAAAUGACAUGUCUUGUGGAAUUGUUCAAUUUGACAGUAUCAGCCCUGGACAGAAUAAUGGAAGGGUUGGCCACACAUUAUCAGAGUGAAUGCUGACUGUCAUUAACUCUACAGCCAAUGUACAUUUCCAGGAAAUGUAAUUUAUGCCUGUUUGGAAUACCACCAGUGGGGGAGGACACUCUCAAGCUCCACAUCAAGGGAUGCUGAGUUCCACCUGCCUUCCUUUUGCUCACUGGGAGCACUCUUCAUCUGUUCACCUACCACAGAGCUCCUGGGCUACCUGCUGCUUUCCCUAUUUUAAGGACACAUUACCAAGUGUAUCUGUUGCAUUUACAUUCAGUGAUUCUCUUAAUUUUAUGAAUAAACAUGGAUUGUACUCAUAGCAUGGUACUCCUGAUAAACGGAGACUGCAAGUGCUGCUCUGUUGCAGGUAUGUCUGUGCUGUUCAGAGACCUUGAAACACUGCAUCAAUUUACUUUUUCUGUCUGAUGCCUUAAGUUUUAAAUGUCAUAUUUUCCAGAUUCUGUACUGCCUUAGUGAAUUACUCUGAACUUCAUAUAAAGUGUCAGCAAGCUCCCCUCACAGCUCAGUCACACAAAACAAUCAUUUUCCAGCCCCAAAACCAAGGACACCGGUGCAGCUUCAGCCCCAAAAAAGUGCAAACAACAGGGAAUUGAGGAGAGCAACCUGGGAGGAUGGGACCUCAUAACCUGGAGCUGUAACUGGACAAUGAACCCCAAUACGGAACUGGACCAAAACCUAUAAAAGUGUGAGAACUCAUGACCCAGGGUCCAUCUUGGGUGUAGCCACAGCCAGGCUCUUGUACUGCCCAAGGUGUAUUCUUUAAAGGCCUUUUAAUAAAUGCCUGCUUUAUUCCUUUGACUCUCUCCA